rnacentral:rRNA from 1 species
UACGUAGGGUGCGAGCGUUAAUCGGAAUUACUGGGCGUAAAGCGUGCGCAGGCGGUUUUGUAAGCCUGUUGUGAAAUCCCCGGGCUCAACCUGGGAAUGGCAUUUGGGACUGCAAGGCUGGAGUGCGGCAGAGGAGACUGGAAUUCCUGGUGUAGCAGUGAAAUGCGUAGAUAUCAGGAGGAAUACCGAUGGCGAAGGCAGGUCUCUGGGCUGACACUGACGCUCAUGCACGAAAGCGUGGGGAGCAAACAGG